rnacentral:piRNA from 1 species
UAAGGGAACAAAGUUAAGUGAGUC